rnacentral:rRNA from 1 species
AGAGUUUGAUCAUGGCUCAGGAUGAACGCUAGCGGCAGGCCUAACACAUGCAAGUCGGAGGGGCAGCACGUUAAAGAGUUUACUCUUUAUGGUGGCGACCGGCGGACGGGUGCGUAACGCGUAUGCAACCUGCCUGACACAGGGGGAUAAUCCGAAGAAAUUUUGGUCUAAAUACCCCAUAAUACCGAUAUAGGCAUCUAUGUUGGUUGAAAGCUUUGGUGGUGUCAGA